rnacentral:tRNA from 1 species
UCCCUGGUGGCUCAGUGGUGAAGAAUCUGCCUGCCAAGCAGGAGAUGCAGGUUUGAUCCCUGAGUGGGGAA